CAUCACCGACGCUCACGCACAGGAUUUUAAUGGAGUCGUUUUCCCUUUUAGUGGACAGAAUCUCUGUUCAGCUUCUCCUCCUCAGCUGCACGCUGAGCUGGUGUUUUAUAGCCUCGGGACAGUGAGGCACCUAACUUUUUAGCCCACCUUUUCAGCAACAAUUCAGUCCAUUUUUCAGAAAAUCCGUGCUCGAUGAACAGACAAUUUGAACCUGAGAGCCGGGCAGAAAUUUGCAGCUAACCACAGCUAGAACACUGCGGAAAAGAGCUCUCUAAACUGCUCGGCUUCAAAAACUUCCCCUCUCCCCUCCUCCCACUCGGCAGCAAACAAGCAUUCACAGUAGCUCUUCUCCGGUAUCGGAAAAUGUCGCGGGUGGGAUCGGUAUUUUCUGAUACAUGAAUUACGUUGGUAUCGGAACCCGAUACCGAGCCGGGGUCCUAUCCCUAAUUGUGGAGUUAUGUCAGGAAGGGCAUCCGGUGUAAAACUUGUGCUGAUUCAACAUGCAGAUCCACCUUGGAUUUGCUGUGGCGAAAACAAGGGAGCAGCCAAAGGGAUUUACUUUGUUCUUUUACAUUCAUGCGAAGUGUGGCAGCUGGUAUUUGUUGGGUUGCAAAUGGAGCACGUCUUGGUGCUGUUACUGUUGUUAAAUUGGUGAAAGUCAUGUGGUAAUUUGGGAGCUACACCUUUCUACUUGAUGGUUAAAUAAGCCCAACUCUUUUCUGAUGUAAUUGCAAAGACUCAGUUGCCAUACUCACUAACUUUAUUGCCAAGCUUGUGGCUUGGCAGAAGGAACUCCACUUGCUUUGUAUACUGUUGUUUCGUAGCUCUGCCUUGCCUACUUGUGAUACGUCAGGAAGCCUCAUUGUGCAUUAUCACUUAUACCUCAGGACAUUUAGGAAUAUGGGAUCUUUACCCAUGAUUCUUUGAUCAGGUUGAUGAUGUACAAAACCAGUUGGUCAGUCCUUUUUUACAUGUAUACAGUGUAGCUUAAGUUAUGGGCAUUCUGACUGAAGAAUGAAUAAUUCCCUAGAUGGAAGUAUUUAAGUUGGAUAUUAUAUUUAAGACUACAACUAAUAAUCUAUUUUUGAUUAAUUUGCUGAUUGGGUACUAGUCUUUGAAUUUAAUUGCAUUCUGUUUGAUUUAGCAAUAGAGAAACUCUACAAACUUUUGGAGAAGCUGAAACAAGUUAACUUUUUUUGUCACUUUUCCUUGAGAAAAUACAUUUUUUUGACUUGAUGCACUAUUCCUCCAUAAGUAAUAUUUUGCCAUGAUAAAACACAAAAUAUGAACA